CAGAAGUUGUCAAUUCAUCUUGCUCUGGAGGUGACGGUCAAACCUUGACCACAAAGAGGAUCAAAUUGAGGGAGGCACCCCUCCUACGCAAUAAAUGUCAGGAGCUAGAUGAGAUCUCUCGUGACAGCAACUGGAUACUUCCCAGAUAUACAGUACUACCUUCGGAAGAUGGAAUGUUCCAGACCAGUGUACAUCUGAGGGGUGUGGAUUUUGACUUGAGCAUCGAGGGUGGUCUUCGUAUGACCCCACAAGAAGCAAGGUUGUCUGGGGCUGCCAACAUGAUACUCGAGCUUUCGAGGCAGGCAGAGGAAGAGAAGUCAGAGGACGAAAGCACAAUAAGCGGAGUUGCCUGAUUGUCAGG